rnacentral:lncRNA from 1 species
ACAGAUAUAUCAAGAAUUGAAAAAAAAAGGAAAUGUAAAUGAUAUUGCUAAAGCUACAGAAGAAGCUCUUUUAGAAAAAGGAAUUAGAUUAACUGGAAAACAAAAUGUACAAAAGGAAAACAUUCAGCUUGAUAAAUCUAUAGAAAGAGAACAAGUUUAUCAAGAAGAGGAUAGACCAAUUAAAUUAUAUUCAAAUAUCAAUAUAAAAAAUGAGCUUGUAAAAGAACUUGAUAUGGAAAAUAUAGGAAUUCAUGAAAAUCUCAAAUUAUCAAUAUCGGAUGAAUUUAAAGCUGCAACAGCUCAAGAAUCAAUAAUGGAUGUGACUUCCUUAAACGCAGACAAUAAAACUGCAGUAAAGAUUAAUGAUGAUGCUCUCAAAUUCAUAAAAUCAAAUAUUCCUAACAAAAAUAAACAUAAUGAACAGCAAAAUAUAGAAGAGAAUUUAUCAAAUACUAAGACAACAAAAUCAUAAUUGUUGGAGUUGAAAUUAUAAGUUUUGCUUUAUAUUUAAAGAAAGAAUAAAUAAUAG